UAAAUCUAAACAACUUAAAUCCACAAUCAUAAACCGAAUCAAAACAACUUAAAUCUAAACAGCUUAAAUCCACAAUCAUAAACCAAAUCAAAACAACUUAAAUCUAAAAAGCUUGAAUAAACCGAAUCAAAACAACUUAAAUCUAAAAAGCUUGAAUAAACCGAAUCAAAACAACUUAAAUCUAAACAGCUUAAAUCCACAAUCAUAAACCAAAUCAAAACAACUUAAACCUAAAAAGCUUGAAUAAAAC
rnacentral:lncRNA from 1 species